rnacentral:misc_RNA from 1 species
ACAAUAUGAAAGCGGGCUGGGUUCACCCUAAAGACGCGCCGCCACUCGGCGUGUGUGCUCUUUGGGGCCAGCUUGUCUGAAUUAUUCACCCAUGUCUUUUGCGCACUUCUUGUUUCCUGGGCGGGUUCGCCCGCCACCAGGACCACACCAUAAACCUUUUUGUAAUUGCAAUCAGCGUCAGUAAAAAAUGUAAUUAUUACAACUUUCAACAACGGAUCUCUUGGUUCUGGCAUCGAUGAAGAACGCAGCGAAAUGCGAUACGUAGUGUGAAUUGCAGAAUUCAGUGAAUCAUCGAAUCUUUGAACGCACAUUGCGCCCUUUGGUAUUCCAAAGGGCAUGCCUGUUCGAGCGUCAUUUGUACCCUCAAGCUUUGCUUGGUGUUGGGCGUCUAUUGUCUCUUGCGAGACUCGCCUUAAAAUGAUUGGCAGCCGGCCUACUGGUUUCGGAGCGCAGCACAAAUUUGCGCUUCUGAUCAGCC